GAAUGCAAUUUCGGGAAUUAUGACUUAUCCGAGUGUUUGACUUAGAUUAUAUCUCUGCAUGAAAAAUUUGUUGUUGUCGACGAUACUGAUGAAAUACAGUUGGAUAUUCACUUAUUGCGCAGAACAGUUUGGAAAAUGUUGCGAAAUUCAAGGUUAUCAAUACAAAACAAAUAGAUUAGCGAUACAGUAUGAUGGGGCUAGAGUCGACAACUUUCAUCAUUUUCAGGAAUCCAAUUGAAUGAUAUCACUAUUGAUGUGAAAAUUCAAUGAUAAUGAUUUGUCAAUGUCACACUGUUAAAAAUUGAAGUAAGUUUCCAGAACUUAUUAGGAAAUAUUUCACAAUUAAAAAUCUGUGUUAGUGUAAUAACCUGAUAUAUGAUGUAACAAUGAAAAGUUGUGUAAUAAAUCAACACAAAUGAAGUAAAACUUAUUUUACUUUGUGAAUAUUCAGAUGAAAUGUGAACUUUCCCUGGAAAGUUAUGGAAUCAAUUAAUGUACAGGAAGUGAUCUGUGAAUUUUAAUAAAUAUUGGUAAAAUCACUACCAAUAUUCUUUACAGCUCACACAUCAAAUGGGUAGAUUUCACAGUGUAUAUUAAGUAUAUUUGGAUCAGUCCAUUAACAUGUUAUCGUGUUGUCGGAAAAGGAUAAUUGCUCGUAGGCAGUGUGCAUUAAAUAAAGAUCGAAAAUAACUUCGGGUCGCGGGGAGCGAGGCGCAUACCCCUAUAACCGAUGACCGGUUCAUUCGUGAUUUCAUUGUUUUUAAAUAAAGGUUUAUUGUACAACUAGUGAGGUAUUCAAAGUGAUUGAAAAGCAACCACGAAUUCCGUUUAUUAUGUAUACGUCGAGCAGGAAGAAGUUAAUGUAGAAGGAUUUGUGAAUUUCCUAGAAGCAUUGAAGUUGGCUUUUGAUUUAUACUUCACCCUCAAUAAUCAAUAUCCAAAAGGUUUUUCAAUAAUAUUAGAGUUGUUACAGCGGCUAAUUUUGAAAAUUCAGCAGAUUCGGGUUCCAAAUAUAAAAGGCUGAAUCCGGUGAAGAAAAUAGUUUUCAAUUUCAUAAACAAAUUUGUCAAACUUCAAAAUUGAAGAUUUUAUAAAAUAAUAUGCUUGAAAUUAACUUAUGUACUUAUUUGUGAUGCACUGUUUGGAACGUUUGGUGUAGUAAUGAAUAUUACUAGAGUUUUUCUCAACACCAAACCGUUAUUUUAACAUUUCCGCACGUGUUUCGAUAAAUAAGUGAUCAUCUUCAACAGGAAGAUCAAAACUUGAAGAUGUGGUGUAGAGAAAAAACUCCAGUAAUAUUUAUUUACUUAUAACUUACAGUUGAUAAUACUCUUCCAGUUUCAUUGUAACAGAAACCUAAUUUAAUGUGUUUUUAUGUUUGAAAUGUAUUUUUUUUUCUAAUGUUCAUGCAAUAUAUGCUGCAAUGAUGAUGUUGAAUUGAAUUCUAGUUAAGUUUCAACAACAUUAUUUUCUAGUUGGUUAUUAUUGUUAGAUGUCAUAUGUUUCAUUUCUCAGUAUGCAUUAAAUUCGUGUUCCAAAGAUUA